UAGAACCCCUGUAACUUCCCCUUAAGUAGGACAUUUAAUCUGUUUGUGCUUCUCCAAACCCCAGGAAUGGACAUCUGAGUGGACAACUCUGUCUUUAUUGGAUAAAUUACAGUCACCAGUAUACAGUUUCUCCUGUUCUGCCUGAGGUGCUGCCUUUGUAAAGAAGAUCUAAUGCAGUAUAUCCUACUGAGUAAAGAACAGCCUUACCUUUAGGAAUCCCAGCGGAUUACAAGAGAUUCACUUCUUCAAUACACUCUGACUCCAGACUUUUCACAUACAGGGCCUUACAAAUCUAAACAUAUCUCUUUUUUUCUCAUGAGAUUAGAUUAGAAAAUUUGCAUUGUCUAUAAGUCUGCUUCUACCUUAAAAUAUUGCCCAACUUUAUACACUAAAAACUGACUUUUUGGUUCUGCAAAUAAUGCCUUGGUUUUUAUUUAAAAUAUAUUGCAAAUUACCAUUUUGUGCCUUUACAUCCAAAAUUAUACCUGUUAUCCUUGGUGUUACUUAGAGUUAAUCUGUAAAACUGUUUCAAUCAACAGACAAGUACUUUUAAUUAAUCUAAAACAGAGUGUUAACAAAGGUAUUUCAAUGAAUUCCAAACUUAACAGAUGUAACUAAAAUGUACUUGAAUAUCGAGGGUGUUUAUUUUCCUUUGCUGGACAAUGUUUAGGUGAGAGAUGAAAAAUAUUGUGUACCUGUUGGCUGCACGGUGCUGCAGUUUGUAGCACCGUUGCCUCGCAAUAAGAAGAUUCAAUCCCCACCCCAGAGUCUUUCAUGUUUUCCCUGUACAUAUAUGGGUUCUCUCUGGGUACUCCAGCUUCCUCCCACAGUCAAAAAACAUCACUCUUAAGAAAUCUGGCAUCUCUAGAUAUUCGCUGUUUGGUUGUUUGUCCCGACUCUUACCCCAAAACUGCUGGCACUGUGACCUUGACGGAAUAAGUGGGAGAAAAUUGAAUUUCUUGUUUGUGUCAAUCAGUGACUGACUGUUCUCACUUUCAGUUAGAAAUUAUUGUUUUAAUAUAGCUCAAGCUUGAU